rnacentral:rRNA from 1 species
UACGUUGCCUCGGCGGAUCAGCCCGCGCCCCGUAAAACGGGACGGCCCGCCCGAGGACCCCUAAACUCUGUUUUUAGUGGAACUUCUGAGUAAAACAAACAAAUAAAUCAAAACUUUCAACAACGGAUCUCUUGGUUCUGGCAUCGAUGAAGAACGCAGCAAAAUGCGAUAAGUAAUGUGAAUUGCAGAAUUCAGUGAAUCAUCGAAUCUUUGAACGCACAUUGCGCCCGCCAGUAUUCUGGCGGGCAUGCCUGUUCGAGCGUCAUUUCAACCCUCAAGCUCAGCUUGGUGUUGGGACUCGCGGUAACCCGCGUUCCCCAAAUCGAUUGGCGGUCACGUCGAGCUUCCAUAGCGUAGUAAUCAUACACCUCGUUACUGGUAAUCGUCGCGGCCACGCCGUAAAACCCCAACUUCUGAAUGUUGACCUCGGAUCAGGUAGGAAUACCCGCUGAACUUAAGCAUAUCAAUAAGCGGAGGAAAG